rnacentral:lncRNA from 1 species
CAUCAGCACAUUUGCUGAUUUUUCAUGGGGGGGAAAAAAAAAAAAGUUUUUUUAAAGGAAAGGGAAGGGGGGGAGGGGGGGCAUAGCCUCAGACAGAUCCCGUUUCCUCCUUCAUUCAUCAGAUUUCUUACCCACAUUCAGAAACAUACGGAAGUGAGUUAUGAAAAAUCCAUCUUGGAGAAGUCCUAGAUUACCAGAAAAAAAAUAAAUAAUCUUUCUACAGUUGUGGAGCAGCUGAGGAUGUUGGAAGGCACAAGGCUGCAGUACUGACACAGGCAGUGACAGCCCCGAGAACCUGCCACAGCCUUCCCAGUGUGCCGCACCAAAGGCUUGGGCACCCUUUGAGCAUCAACGCUGCAGCACCCAGCGGGCUUCAAGGGAGCCAGGUGGAAUCCACUGCUCGUCUUCUCCCCCACAAGACAGGGUCACAACGGCCCCCGUGUGAGGACUUGUACGGCAGAAGGGGGUUUCCCACCCACGUCAACAACAGGGAGACGCUGAUGCUUUUGGUUGACUUCCAAGUGGUUUGUACCUCUGCUUUGUGGAGAGGAAACGAAAGGCCUAAGGCAACGACUGCUGUGGAGACCACCUGGGUUAAAUUAGCACAAUUAAACAGUGUUAAGCAGUUCUAGGAAAUGCAAGGCUGUUUUCUGCAUUAUUGAAGUCAUGAGAUCGCCUGAGUGUAGAUGUGCCAACACGGGUUCCGGUUUUACCACAGCUAAUUCUCUUAUUUCAAAGAGCGGAAAUAUCCUCGGACAAAUCUGCUUUGUCAAGGUUGAAAACGUUCCACACCACAGAUGGUGACCAUAAGGUGCAAGUGAGUUUUCAGCUGAACCAGUGACACCCUACCCAUUUGCUUCACUGCUGAAGAUUUUAAAACUAGUUUUUGUUAUGAGAAGCUGAGCAGGUUACUUCUCUCCAAAUGUCUCUUCC